rnacentral:rRNA from 1 species
CCCUUAGAUGUUCUGGACCGCACACGCGCUACACUGAUGCAUUCAACAAGCCUAUCCUUGACCGACAGGUCCGGGUAAUCUUUGAAUCUGCAUCGUGACGGGGAUAGAUUAUUGCAAUUAUUAAUCUUCAACGAGGAAUGCCUAGUAGGCGCAAGUCAUCAGCUUGCGUCGAUUACGUCCCUGCCCUUUGUACACACCGCCCGUCGCUCCUACCGAUUGGGUGUGCUGGUGAAAUGUUCGGAUCGGCCGUUUGUCGCGGUUUCCGCGUCAUGUGGCUGAGAAGUUCAUUAAACCCUCCCACCUAGAGGAAGGAGAAGUCGUAACA